GACGAAGGAUGCAAGCGUUAUCCGGAUUCAUUGGGUUUAAAGGGAGCGUAGGUGGCCUUAUAAGUCAGUGGUGAAAUCUCUGGGCUUAACCCAGAAAUUGCCAUUGAUACUGUAGGGCUUGAGUAUAGAUGCCGUUGGCGGAAUAUGACAUGUAGUGGUGAAAUACAUAGAGAUGUCAUAGAACACCGAUUGCGAAGGCAGCUAACGAAACUAUAACUGACACUGAGGCUCGAAAGUGUGGGGAGCGAACAGG
rnacentral:rRNA from 1 species